rnacentral:tRNA from 3 species
AAUCUUAUAGUUUAAUAAAAACUUUAAAUUGCAAAUUUAAUAAUAACCUAGUUUAAGAUUU